CGUGGGGAGCAAACAGGAUUAGAUACCCUGGUAGUCCAGGCCCUAAACGAUGAAUGUUAGUCGUCGGGUAGCUAGUCUAUUCGGUGAUGCAGCUAACGCAUUAAACAUUCCGCCUGGGGAGUACGGUCGCAAGAUUAAAACUCAAAGGAAUAGACGGGGACCCGCACAAGUGGUGGAGCAUGUGGUUUAAUUCGAAGAUACGCGAAGAACCUUACCUAGCCUUGACAUAUUUGAGAACACUUUAGAGAUAGAGUGGUGCCUUCGGGAGCUCAUAUACAGGUGCUGCACGGCUGUCGUCAGCUCGUGUCGUGAGAUGUUGGGUUAAGUCCCGCAACGAGCGCAACCCUCGUCACUAGUUACUAACGGUUCGGCCGAGGACUCUAGUGAGACUGCCUUCGUAAGGAGGAGGAAGGUGAGGACGACGUCAAGUCAUCAUGGCCCUUACGGCUAGGGCAACACACGUGCUACAAUGGCCAGGACAAUGAGAAGCGAUACCGCGAGGUGGAGCAAAUCUAUAAACCUGGUCUCAGUUCGGAUUGUAGUCUGCAACUCGACUACAUGAAGCUGGAAUCACUAGUAAUCGUAGAUCAGCUAUGCUACGGUGAAUACGUUCCCGGGUCUUGUACUCACCGCCCGUCACACCAUGGGAGUUGAUUUCACCCGAAGCGGGGAAGCUAAACUGGCUACCCUCCACGGUGGAAUCAGCGACUGGGGUGAAGUCGUAACAAGGUAACCGUA
rnacentral:rRNA from 1 species